GUGCUCACUUCAGCAGCACAUAUACUAAAAGUGGACCAGUACAGAGAAAAUUAGCACGGUCCUUGCACAAGGAUGACACACAAAUUUGUGAAGUGUUUCUUCACUAU
ensembl:snRNA U6 U6 spliceosomal RNA